GGCUGCGGGGGGUUCGCUCUGAGCCGCUCUCCUGGCGGUCGCCUCGCGCUCACUGCUGCUCCUCGCGCUCCCCUCAGCACGCGGUGAGGGCAGAGCGGCCGCGGAGCUCCGGUAGAGCGGCGCUGAAGGAGAUGAGGCGGAGCGGCUCCUGGGCCACGUCGUGCGAGCGCUGAGCUGCGGGAGGAGGAGCCAUCAGCAGACGGAGCUCUUCCACCACGAGAUGGCAUUGAUUGUGCAGGGAAGGAAGGGCUUCCUUUGAUCUCUUUGUGGCCUUAUGAAGUUUAUUUAAAGUGCCAAAGCCACCCAAACGCUCAUGGUGCCACACAGAUCUCUGUCCAUCGUCACUGGCUUGACCACACCGUGCUUAACUCAGACCCUUCUGUAUUUGUUCCUUCUAGUGAUGGCAGAGCAUGAAAGGCGAUAAGGAAAUAAGAAGGAAAAUGAUAUAAUUGCAAGCUCGGUU
rnacentral:lncRNA from 1 species